UACGGAGGGGGCUAGCGUUGUUCGGAAUUACUGGGCGUAAAGCGAGUGUAGGCGGUCCGCUAAGUCGGGUGUGAAAGCCCUGGGCUCAACCCAGGAAGUGCACUCGAAACUGGCGGGCUAGAGUACUGGAGAGGUUGGUGGAAUUCUCGGUGUAGAGGUGAAAUUCGUAGAUAUCGAGAGGAACACCGGUGGCGAAGGCGGCCAACUGGACAGAUACUGACGCUGAGACUCGAAAGCGUGGGGAGCAAACAGG
rnacentral:rRNA from 1 species